rnacentral:lncRNA from 1 species
GAUAUUUUGUAGUUAUAACUCAGAUAUGAGCAUUGAAAAGUGGUAAUGACUAAAAGAAAUUAAAUAGAAGGUUGUAGUUGGGUUAGGAGGAGGUGGCAUUAUAAGCUUAUUAACCUUCCACUAAGCAAGCUCAAGCAUGUGCUGGAGAAAAGCUAAGUUAGCUAAGUAUGAUAAAUAAUUGAUGAUGUCUGAUAUGAGAGGAAGGUUCAGAGAAUUUUUAUGAAUUUAUUCUUAGCCUCUUCUCUAUUAUCCCCAUCCAUUCCAUUCUUCAUUUCCUCUUUACUUACGAAACCCCAAAGAACACAAAAGUUGUCAAAAUCUUUAGACCUCAACGAAUUUGACAACGAACUGAAGCUGGUACAUGAAAUUGGAGAAGAUUUGAGGCAAGACCAACUUAAAGAAAGAAGUAUAUUCAAUCAAUUUCAUGCUUGAAUCACGAAUUUGGUGGUUUCUUUAAGCAAGUAAGGUAAAGAUACUUAUUUAUAUUAUAAAAAAAUUGAAAGAAUAUAUGUGUGAAUAUCAAUGAGAAUAUUCUGUUUGGGUUGUAAAUUGAUAAAAGGGGAUGUUGUGUACUUUGUGCGGAGCGAUAAGGCCGAAAAUUUUGGGCUAGACUCCAUCCAAAUAGCUAUGAACUCUGUUUCUUAAAGUGGUGCACUAAGCGUGUUUGAUAAAAUGCCUCUUAGAUGUUGUCAAGCUUUAAAAGUGAAAAUUUGUUAAUGUUAUGAACAAGAUAACUUUUGUAUAUCAAAUUUGAUGUUACCUAGGUGGUUUAGCUGAAUUAAAAAGGGCUUAGAAGCAAGUUUAUGAAAGUUUAACAAUUUUGCUUUAAUAGGAAAUCUGAUGCAUCUGGGCAGUUUCAUGUCUUGCAAGUGAAGCUUAGAAUGUUUUUUUAAAUAUGUUAUAUUUUUAUAAAAUAGUAUGUAGUACCAUAAAGAACAUAUUUCAAUUUGAAAGCAAUUGGAUGAAAGGGUUGCAAGAUAUAAAAUUUCGAAAUGGCCUAGUUGGAUUGCUACAGCAGCAGCAGCAGUAACUGGGCACGCACACCGGCUACUGGAUGUCAGUUGCGCUGCCUUAUGUCAUGCAGAUUGUGCAAAUUUAAAGACAUUAAAUUGUACUGUAUUGUGUUUCGUGGUCUAUUUGGUGAAACGAAAUAGGAUGUAUAUUGAUGGUAUAUAAGAUUCAGUUCUAGAAUUUACAUCUUAAUGCUUUGUAUGGGAUAUUCCUUCUCUGUUAAGGUAAUGUAUCCUUUAUCUAAGAUAGGGGCAUUGUGAUGAUUUAUGAAACCUUUUAAAAGAGUAAUAUGACUUUAAACCCAUUAUGACUAUUCAUAUAUCUUAUGUUCCUGAUAAGGAAAUUGGUGGGUUGAUGGGAUGAUGAAGUUUGUGUGUAAUGCAUCCGGGCCAAACCUUAACAUAAUGAAUAUAUAUUAAGGUUGGUAUACUGUAAUAUAUAUAUUAGGUUACUACAAUGUGGUGUUAUUAUUAAUUAUAUUUCUGAACUCAAAUCUGAUACCUAAUAUUUUAAUGGUAUCGUAUAUUAUAAUAAUGGUAUCGUAAUAUGAGUUAUAACAUGAGUCAAAUCAAACUUGAAGUGUUAAGCAUCAAUGUUACACUUGAUAAUGCUUUAAGGCAGUGCUAAAGGAAAGCAUUUUAUCACAAAUUUUGAUUAGUUCGUAUUUGUAGUGGUAGAGUAACUUACAAUCUUUAUAUAUCCAUCAUAGUUUAUUGCGAUGGUAUAUGAAUUAAUGGGGAUCAAGCAAUCCGUAAGUGAUUCAACAAUUAUAGUGAUCAUGUGAUUAUACUAAUAAAGACAUUAUGAAUGACAUGGAUAUUCAUAGCAACAACAGAUAUAGUUGAUACGAGUUUAAUUGUAGUUCGUGGAUAAAGUAUACAUUAAGUUGUGUACCUUAUGUAUGUUAUAUAGGUGCUAUAUGAAGUCAUAACGCUUCAAUUUCACGAGAGCGAUUAGAACCGGUAGCAUUUUCGCAGAAAAGGCAAGUUUUUCAGUUCUAUUAUGUUUGUG